rnacentral:rRNA from 1 species
AAUAAACGCUGGCGGCGUGCCUAACACAUGCAAGUCGAGCGGGAAAGCCCUUCGGGGUAAGUACAGCGGCGGACGGGUGAGCAACACGUGAGAAUCUGCCCUUUAGUGAAGAAUACUCCCGAGAAAUCGGGCAUAAUACUGCAUAAGUCCCUGCGGGGAGAAAGAUGGCUUUAUGCUGUCGCUAGAGGAUGAGCUCGCGUACUAUUAGCUAGUUGUAGGGUAAUGGCCUACCAAGGCAAUGAUGGUUAACCGGCCUGAGAGGGUGUUCGGUCACACUGGAACUGAGACACGGUCCAGACUCCUACGGAGGCAGCAGUGAGGAAUAUUGCGCAAUGGCGAAAGCCUGACGCAGCGACGCCGCGUGGAGGAUGAAGGUCUUUGGAUUGUAAACUUCUGUUAAGUGGAAGAAAAGUUGCUUCUAAUACAAGCAAAAAAUGACGGUACACUAAAGAAAGC